ACCGUCAAUCUCGAUGGCACCCAACAGUCCGAAACAGCCUGAACGCUACUGUAAAAAUACACUGGCAUCCCAGCACGAGCGUAACUGAAAACUAAACUAUCUGGAAUACUCACUAUGAGGAUUUACUGCAACAGUAAAAAUUUAUACAACGGCCCCUAGAGCUAAAUCAGGUAGUUUAAGCAUAUGACGAUCAUAAUCGCGAGUUUUCUCCUAAGUCUCAUCCAAGUCCAACAU
rnacentral:lncRNA from 1 species